CUGCUGCCUUCCGUAGGAGUCUGGGCCGUAUCUCAGUCCCAAUGUGGCCGGCCAACCUCUCAGUCCGGCUACUGAUCGUCGCCUUGGUAGGCCGUUACCCUACCAACUAGCUAAUCAGACGCGAGUCCAUCUCUCAGCGAUAAAUCUUUGGUAUCCAUACCAUGCGAUACAGAUACGUUAUGCGGUAUUAGCAGUCGUUUCCAACUGUUCGUCCCCCUCUGAAAGGCAGGUUACUCACGCGUUACU
rnacentral:rRNA from 1 species